AACGAACGCUGGCGGCGCGUCUUACCCAUGCAAGUCGAGCGGCAGGCAGCAAUGCCGAGAGCGGCGGACUGGUGAGUAACCCGUGGAUAACGUACCCCGAUGUCCGGGACAGCCUGUAGAAAUAGAGGGUAAUACCGGAUAGAUCACUGUUUACGUGAGGUAGACAGCGGGAAAGGAGCUUCGGCUCCGCGACGGGAUCGGUCUGCGGCCCAUCAGCUGGACGGCGGGGUAAAGGCCCGCCGUGGCGAGGACGGGUAUCCGGCCUGAGAGGGCGGACGGACACAUUGGGACUGAGAUACGGCCCAGACUCCUACGGGAGGCAGCAGGUAAGAAUAUUCCGCAAUGGGGGGAACCCUGACGGAGCGACGCCGCGUGAACGAAGAAGGCCGGAAGGUUGUAAAGUUCUUUUCUGUCCGAGGAAUAAGUUUCGGAGGAAAUGCCGGGACGGUGACGGUAGGGCAGGAAUAAGCACCGGCUAAUUACGUG
rnacentral:rRNA from 1 species